UCAAAUUUGGUGUGUGGUCAAGGAUGAAC
rnacentral:piRNA from 1 species